GAUGAAGAACGCAGCGAAAUGCGAUAAGUAAUGUGAAUUGCAGAAUUCAGUGAAUCAUCGAAUCUUUGAACGCACAUUGCGCCCGCCAGUAUUCUGGCGGGCAUGCCUGUCCGAGCGUCAUUUCAACCCUCAAGCUCAGCUUGCUGUUGGGUCCCCGUCGUUGCUUUAACGGCGGACCCGAAAGGUAAUGGCAGAGUCCGUGAGACCCUAGACGCAGCGAGCUUCUAGCACGCGUCUGGACGUUUUUCGGGCUCGGUCUUAACUAGAUGAUAACUUCCGAUUGACCUCAGAUCAGGUAGGGAUACCCGCUGAACUUAAGCAUAUCAAUAAGCGGAGGA
rnacentral:misc_RNA from 1 species